GGGCCUGUGGCUCAGUGGUAGAGCGCCCGCUUUGCAUCAUGACGUUCGCGUCAAGUAUCAAAUUGCGGGAGGUCCAGGUUUCGAUCACCUGCCGGUCCA